GACGAACGCUGGCGGCGUGCUUAACACAUGCAAGUCGAACGGAAAGGCCCUGCUUUUGUGGAGUGCUCGAGUGGCGAACGGGUGAGUAACACGUGAGUAACCUGCCCUUGACUUUGGGAUAACUUCAGGAAACUGGGGCUAAUACCGGAUAGGAGCUCCUGCUGCAUGGUGGGGGUUGGAAAGUUUCGGCGGUUGGGGAUGGACUCGCGGCUUAUCAGCUUGUUGGUGGGGUAGUGGCUUACCAAGGCUUUGACGGGUAGCCGGCCUGAGAGGGUGACCGGCCACAUUGGGACUGAGAUACGGCCCAGACUCCUACGGGAGGCAGCAGUGGGGAAUAUUGCACAAUGGGCGGAAGCCUGAUGCAGCAACGCCGCGUGCGGGAUGACGGCCUUCGGGUUGUAAACCGCUUUCGCCUGUGACGAGGCGUGAGUGACGGUAAUGGGUAAAGAAGCACCGGCUAACUACGUG
rnacentral:rRNA from 1 species